AACGAACGCUGGCGGCAUGCCUAACACAUGCAAGUCGAACGAGACCUUCGGGUCUAGUGGCGCACGGGUGCGUAACGCGUGGGAACCUGCCCUUAGGUUCGGAAUAACUCCCCGAAAGGGGUGCUAAUACCGGAUAAUGUCUUCGGACCAAAGAUUUAUCGCCUUUGGAUGGGCCCGCGUUGGAUUAGCUAGUUGGUAGGGUAAAAGCCUACCAAGGCGACGAUCCAUAGCUGGUCUGAGAGGAUGAUCAGCCACACUGGGACUGAGACACGGCCCAGACUACUGCGGGAGGCAGCAGUGGGGAAUAUUGGACAAUGGGCGAAAGCCUGAUCCAGCAAUGCCGCGUGAGUGAUGAAGGCCUUAGGGUUGUAAAGCUCUUUUACCCGGGAUGAUAAUGACAGUACCGGGAGAAUAAGCUCCGGCUAACUCCGU
rnacentral:rRNA from 1 species